rnacentral:lncRNA from 13 species
UUUGCUAAUUCAAGCCAGUGAAUCUAAAUUUAGCCUUCUAAUAAAUUUAGAUUUUUAUUGAAUUACUUUAUUGUGGGUAAACUUGUAAUUAGUAACUGCCAUGAAUUUUCCCUUUGUAAAUGUGGGGAGGAUAAGUUAUCAAAUUAAUCACAUUUGGACAAAUAUCAAGUUUUCAAAAGAGGAAAAAUCUGGGUAGAUUUUUGGCAACAUUUGAGAAAGUUUAUUAAAAGUUACAAAUAUAUUUUAGCUAACCUUGUUUUAAAGGCAAAAUAUGCAGAACUAUCUUUCCUCCCAAGCCCAAGUUAAUUAUGUCAUUCAACUCUUUACCUCCUAAGGAGAUUCUUCAUUCUCUGGAACUACUCUAAACAUUUAUUUUAUCACCUCUGUAUAUCUUUAGAUGCAUACUGACUCUUGCAAGGGAUACUUUAACCAGAUAAUCUAUUGUCUGCAGAGAGCUGGGAUUUCAGAUGAGCCCUGGAAAAUCAUCUUAUCAUUAGCCUAUAAGCAAUUUUGAAAAUGGAAAGUCGAGCAUAUUUACUACACCUGAUUCGCUAUCAUGCUCUCCAGCUGGCUUGAAGAAGCAAGCCACCACAUUGCUCACUGCUCACAGAGAGGACCACAUGCGGAGGAACUGUGCAUAGCCUCAGGAGCUGAGUGCAGCAUCCAUGUGACAGUCGGGAAAAAUCUAGAGCUCUCAGUUCUACUACCGAGGAUUCAUUCUCCAUAGCCUAGAUGAUGAACAAGACAUCUGAAAAAUAGGAGGACUCCUCAAGACUUUACCCAUCACUUCCUCCUCACUUAUUAUCAGCAGCCUAAAAAAUGUGUGAUUAUUUUGACUUGGAAAAAUAAACCAGACAUAUUCUACA